UGGGGAAUCUUGCGCAAUGGGGGGAACCCUGACGCAGCGACGCCGCGUGCGGGACGGAGGCCUUCGGGUCGUAAACCGCUUUCAGCAGGGAAGAGUCAAGACUGUACCUGCAGAAGAAGCCCCGGCUAACUACGUGCCAGCAGCCGCGGUAAUACGUAGGGGGCGAGCGUUAUCCGGAUUCAUUGGGCGUAAAGCGCGCGUAGGCGGCCCGGCAGGCCGGGGGUCGAAGCGGGGGGCUCAACCCCCCGAAGCCCCCGGAACCUCCGCGGCUUGGGUCCGGUAGGGGAGGGUGGAACACCCGGUGUAGAGGUGGAAUGCGCAGAUAUCGGGUGGAACACCGGUGGCGAAGGCGGACCUCUGGGCCGAGACCGACGCUGAGGCGCGAAAGCUGGGGGAGCGAACAGG
rnacentral:rRNA from 1 species